CCUACGGGGUGCAGCAGUGGGGAAUAUUGGACAAUGGGCGAAAGCCUGAUCCAGCCAUGCCGCGUGUGUGAAGAAGGCCUUCGGGUUGUAAAGCACUUUCAGUGGGGAAGAAAGCCUUGGGGCUAAUACCCUCGAGGAAGGACAUCACCCACAGAAGAAGCACCGGCUAACUCCGUGCCAGCAGCCGCGGUAAUACGGAGGGUGCGAGCGUUAAUCGGAAUUACUGGGCGUAAAGCGCGCGUAGGCGGUCUGAUAAGCCGGUUGUGAAAGCCCCGGGCUCAACCUGGGAACGGCAUCCGGAACUGUCAGGCUAGAGUGCAGGAGAGGAAGGUAGAAUUCCCGGUGUAGUGGUGAAAUGCGUAGAGAUCGGGAGGAAUACCAGUGGCGAAGGCGGCCUUCUGGACUGACACUGACGCUGAGGUGCGAAAGCGUGGGUAGCAAACAGGAUUAGAUACCCCGGUAGUC
rnacentral:rRNA from 1 species